rnacentral:rRNA from 1 species
GGGAAAAGCUCAAAUUUAAAAUCUGGCAGUUUUUAAUUGUCCGAGUUGUAAUUUGUAGAGGAUACUUUUGAUGCGGUGCCUUCCGAGUUCCCUGGAACGGGACGCCAUAGAGGGUGAGAGCCCCGUCUGGUUGGAUGCCAAAUCUCUGUAAAGUUCCUUCAAC